UUGGAGGGCAAGUCUGGUGCCAGCAGCCGCGGUAAUUCCAGCUCCAAUAGCGUAUAUUAAAGUUGUUGCAGUUAAAAAGCUCGUAGUUGAAUUUCGGAGUUUGUCGGUUGGUCGGGCUUCAUUGUCCGCACUGGCCUGAUGGAUUCCUACCUUCUGAAUAACCAGCAUGCUAUUAAGUUAGUGCGUUGGGGAAGCAGAGCUAUUACCUUGAAAAAAUUAGAGUGCUUAAAGCAGGCUUAUGCUUGAAUAGAUUAGCAUGGAAUAAUAAAAUAGGACGGCAUGGUUCUAUUUUGUUGGUUUCUAGGAUCACCGUAAUGAUUAAUAGGGAUAGUUGGGGGCAUUAGUAUUCAAUUGUCAGAGGUGAAAUUCUUGGAUUUAUUGAAGACUAACUUCUGCGAAAGCAUUUGCCAAGGAUGUUUUCAUUAAUCAAGGACGAAAGUUAGGGGAUCGAAGACGAUCAGAUACCGUCGUAGUCUUAACCAUAAACUAUGCCGACUAGGGAUCGGACGAUGUUAAUUUUUUAAUGACUCGUUCGGCGCCUUACGGGAAAC
rnacentral:rRNA from 1 species